AUGGCUUCUCUGAGAGCUCCAGAAAGACUGGAACUUGCUGCUUGGAUUUUUCCCAUUGACUUUAAUGGAUACCACAAGACUUGCUGAUAUUCGCUCUGGAAUUGACACAGAACAUUCUUUCCAUCACUUGGCAGCUAUUUGAAGACGACACUGUCAAACCGGGAUACAGUACUCACACAAAAAUGCGGCAGCCUUGCGAUUAAUUGGAACAACUGCCUGUUGGAAGCAGAUUUUUUUGACAGUAAAGAGAAUUUUUCAGUGUUAUUUCACCUCAGUCAAUAUAUGAAUAGGGUCAAUGUACCUCAUAUGGGCAGUGUGAAUGCCAGUUGGGUGCGGCCACACCUCUAACCCUUCAAAAUAAAUAUGUAGUGGCAAGCCUUUUGGCUACUAAGAUAUGCAAGGAGUUAGGGUGCUUUUUGAAAUAUAGUGGCAUAAUCUAAAGGUAAAACAUAA